AGUGAACGCUGGCGGUAGGCCUAACACAUGCAAGUCGAACGGCAGCACAGUAAGAGCUUGCUCUUACGGGUGGCGAGUGGCGGACGGGUGAGGAAUACAUCGGAAUCUACUUUUUCGUGGGGGAUAACGUAGGGAAACUUACGCUAAUACCGCAUACGACCUACGGGUGAAAGCAGGGGAUCUUCGGACCUUGCGCGAUUGAAUGAGCCGAUGUCGGAUUAGCUAGUUGGCGGGGUAAAGGCCCACCAAGGCGACCAUCCGUAGCUGGUCUGGGGGGAUGAUCAGCCACACUGGAACUUAGACACGGUCCAGACUCCUACGGGAGGCAGCAGUGGGGAAUAAUGGACAAUGGGCGCAAGCCUGAUCCAGCCAUACCGCGUGGGUGAAGAAGGCCUUCGGGUUGUAAAGCCCUUUUGUUGGGAAAGAAAAGCAGCAGGUUAAUACCCCGCUGUUCUGACGGUACCCAAAGAAUAAGCACCGGCUAACUUCGUG
rnacentral:rRNA from 1 species